rnacentral:rRNA from 1 species
UCGAGCGGCGAACGGGUGAGUAACACGUGGAUAACCUGCCCAGAGGUGGGGGAUAACCCGGGGAAACUCGGGCUAAUACCGCAUGACACCGUGAGGUCAAAGGGGGCUCGCAAGGGCUCUCGCCAUUGGAGGGGUCCGCGUCCGAUUAGCUAGUUGGUAGGGUAAUGGCCUACCAAGGCGACGAUCGGUAGCCGGCCUGAGAGGGUGAUCGGCCACACUGGAACUGAGACACGGUCCAG